CUCGACUACAUGAAGCUGGAAUCGCUAGUAAUCGCGAAUCAGAAUGUCGCGGUGAAUACGUUCCCGGGUCUUGUACACACCGCCCGUCACACCAUGGGAGUCAGUAACGCCCGAAGCCGGUGACCCAACCAAACGGAGGGAGCCGUCGAAGGUGGGACCGAUAACUGGGGUGAAGUCGUAACAAGGUAAC
rnacentral:rRNA from 1 species